GGCAAGAGUUUAGUGGCUAUACCACACAAGUGAAGUAUGGAAUUGAUCGGAUCAUGUGUACUCUUCCUCGCAUGUAUCAGCUUGCACAAGGUGGAACUGCUGUUGGAACUGGAUUGAACACAAAGAAGGGAUUUGAUGUCAAAAUAGCUGCAGCAGUGGCUGAGGAAACAACACUACCAUUUGUGACAGCCGAAAACAAGUUUGAAGCUUUGGCUGCUCAUGAUUCUUUUGUUGAAAGUAGUGGAGCCCUUAACACUGUGGCUACCUCUCUAAUGAAGAUUGCAAAUGACAUACGCUUAUUAGGAAGUGGUCCUCGAUGCGGCCUUGGUGAACUCAUACUUCCUGAAAAUGAACCAGGCAGCAGUAUUAUGCCAGGAAAGGUUAAUCCGACCCAGUGUGAGGCACUCACUAUGGUCUGUGCUCAGGUCAUGGGCAAUCAUGUGGCUAUUACAGUGGGUGGAUCGAAUGGCCAUUUUGAGUUAAAUGUGUUCAAACCUAUGAUUGCUAGUAAUCUCAUACAUUCUGUAAGAUUGCUUGGGGAUGCAUCUGCUUCCUUUGAAAAGAACUGUGUGAGGGGAAUUCAAGCUAAUAGGGAGAGAAUUUCAAAAUUACUUCAUGAGUCGCUAAUGCUUGUCACAUCGUUGAAUCCUAAAAUUGGUUAUGACAAUGCUGCAGCAGUUGCCAAGCUAGCUCAUAAGGAAGGAAGUACUCUAAAGGAAUCUGCAUUAAAACUUCGAGUGCUUACCAGUGAAGAAUUCGAUAGCCUUGUGGUGCCUGAAAAAAUGAUUGGCCCUUCUGACUGAGAACUUACUUUCGUGAGACUUUCAGCAUCACGUCCAGGAUAUUUAUUUUGGUUUUUGCAACAUAUUGUAUCACUUGAUAGGGAAUAAUGACAAGUGGUGAUUCGACUUUGAUACAACUAAAAACAUAUUCUUUGAGGCUUUUCCUCGAGGCAGCUAGAUAGCUAGCAAGCCAAGUUUCUCUUUAUUUGUCAGAUAAGUAACAGCAGCUAUUGAUGGCGUUAAUAAUGGAAAGCCUCCCUCAUUUU
rnacentral:misc_RNA from 1 species